rnacentral:tRNA from 1 species
UGCCGCGACUGGGGGUCGAACCCAGGACGGUCUGCGAACCAAAGCAAGGCCAAAGCAUUGGCGUAGUCUCUUACUCUUGGAGGUUUUGUAAGGCAGAAAUGAUAACCACUACAUCAUCGCGAC